GUGCCAUCUUGUAAUUAAUAAACAUACUAAUAAUUAAAUCAAAGAGUGGUACUGAUUAUGAAUUAAUGAUUAAACUAGAAUAUAUUAACUAAAUUAUCUGAAGAAAAAAAUCUGUUUCAGUCUGGGAUUGAACCAGGGACCUUUUGAGUUACCUUCCCAACAUCAUAAUUGCUAGAUCACUGAGCCUAUGUAAAAGAUUGACUCUUCAGAUAAUAUUAAUUUAGGAUUACUUUUUUGAUCAUAGACAUUGGACUCUACCAAUAAACCUAUUCCUGACCAGUUUUUCAGCCAUGGACCCUCAAUGAUGCUAGCCAGGCAAUACAUAGAAUUCACAGUUAUUAUUGUAUCAACUAUUUUUUACCUAACUUCAAGGGAAUUAUUCCAAUUGAACCUAAUACUUAUAUUAAAUUUUAAUCCCUUGAUAUAUGAAUUUCUGACAUGCAUAUAUAUCAUUUCCAGUUAUAGUAUAAUAAUCAUUUUUUUCAAGUAUUGCUUAUUAUUGUAUCUUCUAAUAUUUAUUUUAUCAUUGUAUCAUUAUUUAU
rnacentral:lncRNA from 1 species